GCUGCAACGACCGGAGGAGUGCUGCUGUAACUGGGGAGGGUGUGCAGUAUCUUUAUAAUGUGUGUGAGUGUGUGUGUCUGUGUGUGAGUCAUUACUUUUAGCUUCCAUGCGGCAGGCUGCAGGCUUCAGCAGGACAGAGAUGGCUAUGCUAAACCAAGCCUGUGUUAAUGAGACAGCUCUGCAGGGAUGAGAAGAACACACACAGAGCAAGUUUGAAGACGUCUUCUGGCCCCCCAAAGGCUUUCAGUCGGUCUCUUCUAAGCAAGAAGGCAAAUACUGAAGAGCUUCUGAUGUUUUGCAAAUUCACCAGGUGGAGUAUCUGUCUGUCUGUCUUUGGGAUAUGCCAAAAGAUGACAACGACCGUGGAGCAGAAGAGCGUUUGACUUUCACCAGCGAGCCCCUCUGUUUGACAUCAUGUUUUCUUAAUGAGAGCCAGCUGCCCCCCAACAUCAGCAUUCUCCUUCAUACCAGCAUGAAAAAACAUGAAAGUUAGAACUUUAAACAUGUCCAGAUUCCUUUGUACGCCACGGGCAGUAUUAGCCUGCUCGUCAGCAUUACAAUCAAUGGUGCCUGUGAUCAUCAAGGGUGGAAAUGAGCGCUUAGCCUUGGAGCACACGCACAGGAUGAAAUACUGCACAUUCAUUAUGUAAACAAUCUGGUUUGCUGAGCCAUGUGCAAGGUUUUUUCCCGGUGUACUGACACCGACAUCUUCAUAGACAAUAAAAAUGAAAUAAAAUAACAAAAUAAAUAAAUAAAUUUCCAGGUGCUAAUUAAUAUGCUGCACCCUGUUCUCAGAGGUUUAAAAGCUUUUGCUUCUAUGGCCAGUCACUGCAGAUAUAAUUUGUUCCAUUAAAAUCUGUUUCAUGCUCCCUUUUCAGUCUCAUGCUGCUUUUAUGACUUACUCAGGGGGGAAAAAAUUAAUAGAAAUGGUGACAAAUAUGUCAAUGCUACUAUCACAAAGAGUUGGCCACUGAUAGCUGCUAACUCUUUGUGGCAUCAGCAAGGUGCUGGAAACUUUCGGCCGUUAACUUUUUAACAGGCGAUCGUGGCUCAAGAGUUGGCAGUUCGUCUU